UACGUAGGGUGCGAGCGUUAAUCGGAAUUACUGGGCGUAAAGCGUGCGCAGGCGGUUCGUUGUGUCGGCGGGGAAAGCCCCGGGCUUAACCUGGGAACGGCCGUUGAAACUGGCGAACUGGAGUGUGGCAGAGGGGGGUGGAAUUCCGCGUGUAGCAGUGAAAUGCGUAGAGAUGCGGAGGAACACCGAUGGCGAAGGCAGCCCCCUGGGCUAACACUGACGCUCAGGCACGAAAGCGUGGGGAGCAAACAGG
rnacentral:rRNA from 1 species